rnacentral:rRNA from 1 species
CUAGCGACUUCAGAGUUUGAUCCUGGCUCAGGACGAACGCUGGCGGCGUGCCUAACACAUGCAAGUCGAGCGGGGACAUUUAACAGAAUGGAAGUUUUCGGACGGAAGGGAAGAUAAGUGUUCUAGCGGCGGACGGGUGAGUAACGCGUGAGCAACCUGUCCUUCACAGGGGGAUAACACAGCGAAAGUUGUACUAAUACCGCAUAAGACCACGGUACCGCAUGGUGCAGGGGUCAAAGGAGGAAUCCGGUGAAGGGUGGGCUCGCGUCCGAUUAGAUAGUUGGUGAGGUAACGGCCCACCAAGUCAACGAUCGGUAGCCGACCUGAGAGGGUGAUCGGCCACAUUGGGACUGAGACACGGCCCAA